AUGCUGGGGCCCGUGGACGGAGGCCCUGACUGGGCAGGGCUGCAGAUGGCCCCUCCUCCUAGUGUGGCCUUCAAGCCAGACCUGCCCCGCGCACCCCCACCGGGGCUGAGCCUCUGCCUGGACCCACACAUCCCGAUCCCCAAACUCAGCACACUCCCACAGGGAGCAAGGCGCGGUGCAGGCCAGUGCCCUGGGCGCCGUGUGCUGUCUGCGGUGGUCCGAUGGGAGGGUCUGGCCACGCAAGGGCUGCCUGUGGUCAGUUCGAAAGCAGCACAAGACGCGCUGGCCAGCUCCCACCCCAGGCCCAAGCUCAGCCAUGUGCCGAUGGCAGGCGUGUCCCAGCAGGCCCCGUCCGUCUUCCCCCUGACCCCUGCACAGCCCGUGCCGGUCGACAGGGUGGCCCUCGGCUGCCUGAUCCAUGGAUUCUUCCCCUCGGGACCUCUGAACGUGACCUGGAGCAAAAGCGGAGAUGGUGUGACCAUUAUAAACUACCCAGCUGCCCUGGGCUCCAGGGGCCUGUACACCACGAGCAGCCAGCUGACCCUGCCAGCCAAUGACUGCCCAAAGGGCAGCUCCCUCAGAUGCUCUGUGCAGCACGACUCCAGCUCUCCCAAGACCGUGGAUCCCAAGCUGACGCUGCACCCGCCGGCCCUGGAGGACCUGUUGCUGGGCUCCGAUGCCAGCCUCAGGUGUACACUCAGCGGCCUCAAACACCCUGAGGGAGCCACCUUCACCUGGCAGUCCCCCAGCGAGAGGAGCCCCGUCCAGGAGGCCCCUAAGCCAGAGUCCUGUGGCUGCUUCAGUGUGACCAGCGUGCUGCCCGGCUGUGCGGAGCCCUGGAACCGCCGGGACACCUUCACAUGCACCGUCAACCACACUGAGCUCCCCGCCCCCCAGACUCUCUCCAUCACCAAGGACUUAGGGAACAAAUUCCGGCCCCAGGUCCAUCUGCUGCCGCCGCCAGCAGAAGAGCUACCCCUGAACGAGCUGGUGACCCUGACCUGCCUGGUGCGCGGCUUCAGCCCGAAGGAGCUGCUGGUGCGCUGGCUGCACAGCAACCAGGAGGUGCCCAGGAGCAGCUUCCUGGUGUGGGGGUCCCUCCGGGAGCCGGAGCAGGGGGCCACCACCUUCACGGCCGUGAGCGUGCUGCGCGUGGGGGCUGCGGCCUGGAAGCAGGGCGACAACUUCUCCUGCGUGGUGGGCCACGAGUCCCUGCCCACCGGCUUCACCCAGAAGACCAUCAACCAGCAGAUGGGUAAUCCCACUCACGUCAAUGUGUCUGUGGUCGUGGCCGACGUGGAGAGCGUCUGCUACUAA